rnacentral:rRNA from 1 species
GACGAACGCUGGCGGCGUGCUUAACACAUGCAAGUCGAACGGAAAGGCCCUGCUUUUGUGGGGUGCUCGAGUGGCGAACGGGUGAGUAACACGUGAGUAACCUGCCCUUGACUUUGGGAUAACUUCAGGAAACUGGGGCUAAUACCGGAUAGGAGCUCCUGCUGCAUGGUGGGGGUUGGAAAGUUUCGGCGGUUGGGGAUGGACUCGCGGCUUAUCAGCUUGUUGGUGGGGUAGUGGCUUACCAAGCCUUUGACGGGUAGCCGGCCUGUGAGGGUGACCGGCGACAAUGGGACUGAGAUACGGCCCAGACUCCAACGGGAGGCAGCAGGGGGGAAUAUUGCAAAAUGGGCGGAAGCCGGAUGCAGCAACGCCGCGGGCGGGAUGACGGCCUUCGGGUUGUAAACCGCUUUCGCCUGUGACGAAGCGUGAGUGACGGUAAUGGGUAAAGAAGCACCGGCUAACUACGUG